UAGGGAAUCUUCGGCAAUGGACGAAAGUCUGACCGAGCAACGCCGCGUGAGUGAAGAAGGUUUUCGGAUCGUAAAACUCUGUUGUUAGAGAAGAACAAGGACGUUAGUAACUGAACGUCCCCUGACGGUAUCUAACCAGAAAGCCACGGCUAACUACGUGCCAGCAGCCGCGGUAAUACGUAGGUGGCAAGCGUUGUCCGGAUUUAUUGGGCGUAAAGCGAGCGCAGGCGGUUUCUUAAGUCUGAUGUGAAAGCCCCCGGCUCAACCGGGGAGGGUCAUUGGAAACUGGGAGACUUGAGUGCAGAAGAGGAGGGUGGAAUUCCAUGUGUAGCGGUGAAAUGCGUGAAUAUAUGGAGGAACACCAGUGGCGAAGGCGGCUCUCUGGUCUGUAACUGACGCUGAGGCUCGAAAGCGUGGGGAGCAAACAGG
rnacentral:rRNA from 1 species